rnacentral:rRNA from 1 species
AUUCGACGCAACGCGAAGAACCUUACCAGGUCUUGACAUUGAUCGCCAUUUUCAGAAAUGAAAAGUUCUCCUUCGGGAGACGAGAAAACAGGUGGUGCACGGCUGUCGUCAGCUCGUGUCGUGAGAUGUUGGGUUAAGUCCCGCAACGAGCGCAACCCCUAUCAUUUGUUGCCAGCACGUAAAGGUGGGAACUCAAAUGAGACCGCCGCAGACAAUGCGGAGGAAGGUGGGGAUGACGUCAAGUCAUCAUGCCCCUUAUGACCUGGGCUACACACGUACUACAAUGGGUGUCAACAAAGAGAAGCGAAAGGGCGACCCGGAGCCAACCUCAAAAACACACCCCCAGUUCAGAUCGCAGGCUGCAACCCGCCUGCGUGAAGCAGGAAUCGCUAGUAAUCGCGGGUCGGCAUACCGCGGUGAAUACGUUCCCGGGCCUUGUACACACCGCCCGUCACACUAUGAGAGUCAGAAACACCCGAAGCCGGUGAGGUAACCGCAAGGAGCCAGCCGUCGAAGGCGGAGUGAUGAUUGGAGUGAAGUC